rnacentral:rRNA from 1 species
UACGGGGGGGGGCAAGCGUUGUUCGGAAUUACUGGGCGUAAAGGGCUCGUAGGCGGCCAACUAAGUCGGAUGUGAAAUCCCCAAGCUUAACUUGGGAACUGCAUCCGAUACUGGAUGGCUUGAAUCCGGGAGAGGGAUGCAGAAUUCCAGGUGUAGCGGUGAAAUGCGUAGAUAUGUGGAGGAAUACCGAUGGCGAAGGCAGCCCCCUGGGAUAACACUGACGCUCAUGCACGAAAGCGUGGGGAGCAAACAGG